UACGAAGGGAGCUAGCGUUGUUCGGAAUCACUGGGCGUAAAGCGCACGUAGGCGGAUUUGCCAGUCAGGGGUGAAAUCCCGGGGCUCAACCUCGGAACUGCCUUUGAUACAGCAAGUCUUGAGUUCGAGAGAGGUGGGUGGAAUUCCUAGUGUAGAGGUGAAAUUCGUAGAUAUUCGGAAGAACACCAGUGGCGAAGGCGACUCACUGGACACGUAUUGACGCUGAGGUGCGAAAGCGUGGGGAGCAAACAGG
rnacentral:rRNA from 1 species